rnacentral:rRNA from 1 species
AUGGCAAUGUCAUCCAAAUACUGGGUCUUGCGCUCUCCAAAACCAGGGGCUUUGAUAGCGCAAAUUUUCAAAGAUCCUCUCAGCUUGUUGACAACAAGGGUUGCAAGAGCCUCCUGCUCGAUAUCCUCAGCAAUGAUCAGGAUUGGGUAUUGUCCCCUAAUGGCUUCCUCCAGAACAUUGAUAAGAUCCCGUGCGUUGGUGAUUUUUUUGUCAACCAAAACUUACCUUGCAGUUCUCGUACUCGGUGGUCAUUUUCUCGCUGUCAGUAACAAAAUAAGGAGAGAUAUAACCACGCUCAAACUGCAUUCCCUCCACAACAUAAAGAUUGUUCUCGGAACUCCUCCCCUCUUCAAGGGUAACCACUCCCUUCCGUCCGACCUUGCUCAUAGCCUCUGCUAUCAUGUUACCGAUUUCGUAGUUGUUGCCAGCACUGACUGCAGCAACAUCUGCAAGCUCACUGUCCUCAACCUGCAGAGAGAACAUGCCUACGUAAAUAGAACUAAUAAGCAUAUUACAUAUACCAGCCAUCUCGCUCGAGUUGGGAAUCAGUUAAAUACUAAUAAGGGCCAGAUUGCCAAAACUAGGAACGCUUUGACAGCAUAA